AUUGAACGCUGGCGGAAUGCUUUACACAUGCAAGUCGAACGGCAGCACGGACUUCGGUCUGGUGGCGAGUGGCGAACGGGUGAGUAAUGUAUCGGAACGUGCCCAGUCGUGGGGGAUAACGUAGUGAAAAUUACGCUAAUACCGCAUACGAUCUAUGGAUGAAAGCGGGGGAUCGCAAGACCUCGCGCGAUUGGAGCGGCCGAUAUCAGAUUAGGUAGUUGGUGGGGUAAAGGCCCACCAAUCCAACGAUGUGUAGCUGGUCUGAGAGGACGACCGGCCACACGGGGACUGAGACACGGUCCAGACUCCUACUGGGGGCAGCAGUGUGGAAUGUUGGACAAGGGGCGAAAGCCUGAUCCAGCCAUUCCGCGUGCAGAAUGAAGGCCCUCGGGUUGUAAACUGCUUUUGUACAGAACGAAAAGGUUUCUACUAAUACUAGGAGCUCAUGACGGUACUGUUAGAAUAAGCACCGGCUAACUACGUGCCAGCCGCCGCGGUAA
rnacentral:rRNA from 1 species